AUUGAACGCUGGCGGCAUGCCUUACACAUGCAAGUCGAACGGUAACGGGCCUUCGGGUGCCGCCGAGUGGCGCACGGGUGAGUAAUACAUCGGAACGUGCCCGAUCGUGGGGGAUAACGAGGCGAAAGCUUUGCUAAUACCGCAUACGAUCUACGGAUGAAAGCCGGGGACCGCAAGGCCUUGCGCGGGCGGAGCGGCCGAUGGCAGAUUAGGUAGUUGGUGGGAUAAAAGCUUACCAAGCCGACGAUCUGUAGCUGGUCUGAGAGGAUGAUCAGCCACACUGGGACUGAGACACGGCCCAGACUCCUACGGGAGGCAGCAGUGGGGAAUUUUGGACAAUGGGCGCAAGCCUGAUCCAGCCAUGCCGCGUGCAGGAUGAAGGCCUUCGGGUUGUAAACUGCUUUUGUACGGAACGAAAAGCCUUCUUUUAAUACAGGAGGGUCAUGACGGUACCGUAAGAAUAAGCACCGGCUAACUACGUG
rnacentral:rRNA from 1 species